rnacentral:rRNA from 1 species
UACGGGGGGGGCAAGCGUUGUUCGGAAUUACUGGGCGUAAAGGGCGCGUAGGCGGCCUGCUAAGUCGGACGUGAAAUCCCCCGGCUCAACCGGGGAACUGCGUCCGAUACUGGUGGGCUCGAAUCCGGGAGAGGGAUGUGGAACUGCGAGUGUAGAGGUGAAAUUCGUAGAUAUUAGCUAGAACACCAGUGGCGAAGGCGGCCAACUGGUCCGGUACUGACGCUGAGACGCGAAAGCGUGGGGAGCAAACAGG